UAGGGAAUCUUCCACAAUGGACGCAAGUCUGAUGGAGCAACGGCCGCGUGAGUGAAGAAGGUUUUCGGACCGUAAAGCUCUGUUGUUGGUGAAGAAGGAUAGAGGUAGUAACUGGCCUUUAUUUGACGGUAAUCAACCAGAAAGUCACGGCUAACUACGUGCCAGCAGCCGCGGUAAUACGUAGGUGGCAAGCGUUGUCCGGAUUUAUUGGGCGUAAAGCGAGCGCGGGCGGAAGAAUAAGUCUGAUGUGAAAGCCCUCGGCUUAACCGAGGAAUUGCAUCGGAAACUGUUUUUCUUGAGUGCAGAAGAGGAGAGUAGAACUCCAUGUGUAGCGGUGGAAUGCGUAGAUAUAUGGAAGAAUACCAGUGGCGAAGGCGGCUCUCUGGUCUGCAACUGACGCUGAGGCUCGAAAGCAUGGGUAGCGAACAGGAUUAGAUACCCUGGUAGUCCAUGCCGUAAACGAUGAGUGCUAAGUGUU
rnacentral:rRNA from 1 species